rnacentral:rRNA from 1 species
UUCCGGUUGAUCCUGCCGGAGGCUACUGCUAUUGGAGUUCGAUUAAGCCAUGCGAGUCUAAGGGAUCUUCGGAUCCCUGGCGUAAUGCUCAGUAACACGUGGAUAAUCUACCCUCAGGUGGGGCAUAAACCCGGGAAACUGGGGCCAAUUCCCCAUAGAUACAGAUAGCUGGAAUGCUUCUGUAUUCAAAGCUCCGGCGCCUGAGGAUGAGUCUGCGGCCUAUCAGGUUGUAGUCAGGGUCAUGACCUGACUAGCCAGCGACGGGUAUGGGGUGUGAGAGCACUUGCCCAGAGAUGGUUUCUGAGACACGAAACCAGGCCCUACGGGGCGCAGCAGGCGCGAAAACUUCGCAAUGCGGGAAACCGUGACGAGGGGAUUCCAAGUGUCUAUGCAUUGCAUAGACUGUUUUUUAGCCUAAAUAGCUAUUAGAGUAAGGGGUGGGCAAGACCGGUGCCAGCCGCCGCGGUAACACCGGCACCUCGAGUGGUAGCCACUAUUAUUGGGCCUAAAGCGUUCGUAGCCGGUUUGGUAAAUUCUUGGGUAAAUCGUACCGCUUAACGGUGCGGAUUCCGAGGACACUACCAGACUUGAGACCGGGGGAGAUCAGAGGUACUUGUGGGGGAGCGGUGAAAUGUUGUAAUCCUGCAGGGACCACCAGUGGCGAAGGCGUCUGAUCAGAACGGCUCUGACGGUGAGGAACGAAACCCUGGGGCGCAAACGGGAUUAGAUACCCCGGUAGUCCAGGGCGUAAACGCUGCUGACUUGGUGUUGGGGAUCCUACGAGGAUGUCCAGUGCUGGCGCGAAGGUAUUAAGUCAGCCGCCUGGGGAGUACGGUCGCAAGACUGAAACUUAAAGGAAUUGGCGGGGGAGCACUGCAACGUGUGGAGCGUGCGGUUUAAUUGGAAUCAACGCCGGA